rnacentral:lncRNA from 1 species
CAAGAAAACAGCCGUUGCCAACGCACCCCACCUACCCCCACGCACUAAGUCUUAUCCUCCUCCCUUUAUAUUCAGUCCACCCACUCGUUUAUCAUCUGCAUAUGGGUUUCUUUUCUUCUGUGGUAGGUUUUGCUGUUUUCUUGGUUGUUCGUCUUUUAUUCAUGAAUUCUUGCAUAUGAUAUAACUCUCGGGUCCUUUUUGACUUCAGAGCUAGAUUCCUGUUCAUGGAUCUGCAAAUUCUUGGGUUUUUUCUUCUUAAAUGCUUUCUUUCACUUAGAUUAGAUCUGGAUCUUCCAUGUGAAGAUCAUAUCAGAUAAGCGAUUUUCUUGGGGGGUGUGGAUGGUUUUUAGGGUUGACUUGAAUAUAUUUAGAUUAGGGUUUGUUUGUAGAGCUCCUUGAAGUCCAAAAGAGGUUCUUUCGGGGAAAAUUGAGCUGCUAAUCCAUGGAUCCCUCAACCCUAUCCAUAUCUAUAGAUCCAUAUUGGAUAGGUUUGUGGGUUGCAUGUAUCAGGAGCCUGCAUUUCUCAAGUUGGAUCCUUCUUUGGAUUGAAGGGAGCUCUAUACUUAUCCCUAUAUCCAUUUUUGUCUUUAUUUUUUCAUCAGUUCUAUUUUCUUUUAGUUUCUGUUUCUUUUCAGAUCUAAUUAAUGUGAUAAAAAAUUCUAAGUUUGAUCUGUUUAAACGUUUCUCUUACAUAGAAACUGAUCAAUCCCUGACCCUGAUAACUAGAUUGGAUCUUUCUCUAGAUUUACCCUUUUCCGUUUUUGGUUACUGAAGAAAGUCAAAUAUGCAUUUGUUUCCCUCACAUACUCCCUUGUGUGCAUAUCAGUAUAUAGGUUAAAGCUCACCCCUUAAUGUAUCUGCAGAUUUUGGGUUUUUUCUUGCAACAUUUUUCAGGUGCUGAUAGAUUCUUGCUGAAAACAGAUGAGAAGGAAGCCAGAUUGCUCCUUUUUGGGUUCAAGAAAGGAAAUAUAUCUUAGGGUUUAUUUCAAAGAUCAAACAAUAUAUUUCAUUUUUACAGUUAACAUUUUGUUUGGAUUCUUUCCCAUUUGUUAGUCUUCAAUCAAUGGUGUAAUAAAUCCAAGAAAAGCUGUUUUGACAGCAAGUACUGGUAAAUACACAGUAAAUGUAAAUUUUGGUAUAUUGGAAAUCUAUAUAUAUAUAAAUGAAAAUUGUGUCUGAACACAGUAAACGUGGUUUAUGAAUCCUAGUUUUUGGGAAUGGGAAGUGAGAAAAUAUUAUAUACAUGCAUUUUGAUUCUUGGAAAUAAAAAAUUAUAACAUUUCAU